GUCGUCAGCUCGUGUCGUGAGAUGUUGGUAAGUCCCGCAACGAGCGCAACCCUCGUUCUAUGUUGCCAGCACGUGAUGGUGGGGACUCAUAGGAGACUGCCGGGGUCAACUCGGAGGAAGGUGGGGAUGACGUCAAAUCAUCAUGCCCCUUACGUCUUGGGCUUCACGCAUGCUACAAUGGCCGGUACAGAGGGCUGCGAAACCGUGAGGUGGAGCGAAUCCCUUAAAGCUGGUCUCAGUUCGGAUUGGGGUCUGCAACUCGACCCCAUGAAGUCGGAGUCGCUAGUAAUCGCAGAUCAGCAACGCUGCGGUGAAUACGUUCCCGGGCCUU
rnacentral:rRNA from 1 species